UCCCAAAAACCUUCGUGUGUCGGAGGAGUGGUACAACCGCUUCAGGAUCAGCUGGGACGUCCCGCCCUCCCCCACCAUGGGCUACCGCAUCGUCUACCAGCCGCUGUCCGCUCCAGGGCCCGGCGUUGGAGACGUUCGUGGGAGAAGACGUGAACACCAUGUUGAUCCUGAACCUCCUCAGCGGGACGGACUACAGCGUGAAGGUCAUCGCCUCCUACACCACGGGCUCCAGCGACGCCCUGACCGGGACAGCCAAGACACUGUACCUGGGCGUGUCCAACCUGAGAGUGUAUCAGAC
rnacentral:lncRNA from 1 species